rnacentral:rRNA from 1 species
AUUGAACGCUGGCGGCAUGCCUUACACAUGCAAGUCGAACGGUAACAGGUCUUCGGAUGCUGACGAGUGGCGAACGGGUGAGUAAUGCAUCGGAACGUGCCCAGUAGUGGGGGAUAGCCCGGCGAAAGCCGGAUUAAUACCGCAUACGACCUGAGGGUGAAAGGGGGGGAUCGCAAGACCUCUCGCUAUUGGAGCGGCCGAUGUCAGAUUAGCUAGUUGGUGGGGUAAAGGCCUACCAAGGCAACGAUCUGUAGUUGGUCUGAGAGGACGACCAGCCACACUGGGACUGAGACACGACCCAGACUCCUACGGGAGACAGCAGUGGGGAAUUUUGGACAAUGGGCGCAAGCCUGAUCCAGCAAUGCCGCGUGCAGGAAGAAGGCCUUCGGGUUGUAAACUGCUUUUGUCAGGGAAGAAAUCUUCUGGGUUAAUACCUCGGGAGGAUGACGGUACCUGAAGAAUAAGCACCGGCUAACUACGUGCCAGCCGCCGCGGUAAGAC